rnacentral:rRNA from 1 species
ACUUUAAAUUUUUAAUUUAAAGUCAUGUGAUUUUCUAAACUCAUUGAAAUUUUUAUAAAUUAUGAUUGAAUUCAUAACUAUAAAGAGUUAUAGUCUCGUUAUUUAAAAUUUCAAGCAUGGGAAUUAGAAUUAAAGAGUCGGGUAGCUUGAGAAUGCUGCCUUAAUAUAGGUGGUACACCCCAUCUAAAGCUAAAUAUUGUAAAGAGACCGAUAGCAUACAAGUAGUGUGAACGAAAGAUGAAAAGAACUCCUAAACGGAGAAUUAAAAGCGCCUGAACUUGUCUAGGUUUUCGCAUUUCUUUAAUGCGCCCGUCUUGAAACACGGAUUAGGGAGUUUUACUUAAAUACGAGUCUUUAACUUUUAAAGUAAUUUUUUUAAAAAAGGCGAAAAGAAAUUAACUGGUUUUUUAACAUGGCUAUAGAGUAUUUAAGUCAAAACCCGAAUGGAGGUGAACUAUUCCUGCAAAGAUUGAAGUCAGGGGAAACUCUGAUGGAAGAUCGUUGGCGUUAUUGAUGUGCAAAUCAUUUGCUUUAUGUAGGUAUAGGUGCGAAAGACUCAUCGAACCUCCUAAUAGCUGGUUUCCUCCGAAGUUUCCCUCAGGAUAGCUGUAACAUUUUUAAAUAGUUAAGGAUAGUAGAGAAAUGGGUAGAGGUGUAGUGGAACUACGGUUCUGCAACUUAUUUCCAAACUUCGAACGUUCUUGAUAUAAAAAAUUACCUAAUAGGAAUUUUUUAUUUAAAUAUAUGUUAUAAGUGGGCUCUGACCGGUAAGCGGUCAUGGCGAAAAGGGAUGAACCUAACGUAUAAAUAAGGUGCCUAAAUUUACUAACAAUGAAACCAUUAAAAGAGUCCAUGUAUUUAGACAGCGGGUCGGUGCCCCUAAAAGCAGGUAUCCGUUAAUGAGUGUGUUAAAACUCCCCCGCCGAAUACUCUGGCCUUGAAAAUGAAUGGCGCAUAUAGUAAUACCGAUAUUAUACAUUAAAAUUAUUUAAAAAUUUUAAAAGUAGGGGGAUGUGGAUAUCUUAGAGAAUUUUUAAUUGUAAAAUUGAAUUGAAAGAUAUCUAUUACAGAUCCUAAUUGAAGUAGCGAUUAUCCAGGUUAAUCUCCUGGGGGCUGAUGAGGAGUAGGGUUUCUGGGCAACUUAAACGGACCCAGAGUUAGUCGAUCCUAAUCAAAUUAAAUUUAGAGAAAGGGAAUAUGAAUGAUAUUUCAUAACUAAAAUUAAUUUUUAAAUGGUGACAUUUUUUUAAACUUAUUUCCAUCAAUUAAAUACUGUUUAAUAGGGAUUUCUUUCCUAUAUAACUUUUUAAUUAAAACUUAAGAAACAGGUUAACUGGAGAAUAAAGUUUUAAUUUAGUAAAAUUAUAAUUUCGAUUAUAAUAACGGCUAUUUAAAUGAUCCAUGAAACAAUAAGUUUAUUUUUUCAAAAAUUAAUUUAAUCGUACCGAUAACCGCAUCAGGUCUCCAAGGUGAGUAGCUUCUGGCCAUUGAGUAAUGGUAAUUUAGGGAAUUCGGCCAAUUAGAGCUGUAACUUCGGGAUAAAGCUUGGCUCUGAUGGAAAUCAGAACCGAUAGUUACAAGGAGAGCCCAACUGUUUAAUAAAAACUUAGUGUCGCGUCAUACCUUUAUAAGUAAUAAACGUGACAUGAAUCCUGCUCAGUGCUGUGUUUGUUAAACUGGAUUAAUCCAUUUAAGCGCCGGUAAAUAGCUGGGGUAACUAUGACUCUUAUCAAAGUAGCGAAAUACCUCGUCACUUAAUUAGUGACCUGCAUGAACGGAGCUAUGAGGUUCUCACUGUCCCAAAUUAUCACUCAGCGAACCAACAGUUGUGGGAACGGGCACAAAUUAUCCAGCGGGGAAAGAAGACCCUGUAGAGCUUCACUUUGGUCUAAUCUUGUAUAGUUUCGUUAGGGGUGCAGUCUAGGUGGGAGAUUUUUAAUCAAAUAUGAGAAACCACUACCCUUUCUGGAAUUAUACUUACUAAAAUUCUUUUCUAAAUUUUAGGAUCGGAUUAGAUAGAAAGUUUGGCUGGGGCGGCACACCUUCGAAAAAGCAGCGAAGGUGUCCUAAGUUAAGCUCAGUAAGGACAGAAAUCUUACGUUGAGGAUAAGGCCAAAAGCUUAAUUUACUGUGCCUUUUUGUACUAGGAUCAGUUUGGAAACAAA